GGUUCAGGAGGCUGGAAACCAUCAAGCCCUGAUGAAUGCAAAUGGGCGCUAUGCUCAACUCAUCAGCAACUACCAGAUGGAAGAGUCUAAAAAGCAGAUGGAAGAUGAAGUGAUGUCCCUGGAUCCUGCCAACUUGAAUGAAUCUGAGCUCAGACCUGGUGAAGAUGUUGGAAUGAUGAACAACGAUCAUUCUUUUGGAUGAAGCCACAGCCUCCACAGAUCCAGAAACAGAUGCUCUGAUCCAAAAGACAGUCAAAGAGGGCUUUCAAGACAGCACUGUGCUCACCUAGCACAUCGCAUCAACACAGUGAUGAAUGCAGAUCGUAUUCUAGUCAUGAACA